CUUAUUAGUGGAUCCCUUUCGGGGGUGAAGUUUUUAAGUUUAGCGGCGGACGGGUGCGUAACGCGUGGGUAAUCUGCCCUUGUCACUGGGAUAACACAUCGAAAGGUGUGCUAAUACCGGAUAAAAUACAGACUCGGCAUCGAGAUUGUAUCAAAGUCAUGCGGACAAGGAUGAGCCUGCGUCUGAUUAGCUAGUUGGUGGGGUAAAAGCCUACCAAGGCCACGAUCAGUAGCCGACCUGAGAGGGUGAUCGGCCACACUGGAACUGAGACACGGUCCAGACUCCUACGGGAGGCAGCAGUGGGGAAUAUUGCACAAUGGGCGAAAGCCUGAUGCAGCAACGCCGCGUGAGUGAUGAAGGUUUUCGGAUCGUAAAACUCUGUUCUAAGGGAAGAUAAUGACGGUACCUUAGGAGAAAGCCCCGGCUAACUACGUGCCAGCAGCCGCGGUAAUACGUAGGGGGCAAGCGUUAUCCGGAAUUACUGGGCGUAAAGGGUGCGUAGGUGGCCUGAUAAGUCAGGGGUCAAAGGCAACGGCUCAACCGUUGUAAGCCCUUGAAACUAUCGGGCUUGAGUUCAGGAGAGGAAAGCGGAAUUCCAAGUGUAGCGGUGAAAUGCGUAGAUAUUUGGAGGAACACCAGUGGCGAAGGCGGCUUUCUGGACUGAUACUGACACUGAGGCACGAAAGCGUGGGGAGCAAACAGGAUUAGAUACCCUGGUAGUCCACGCCGUAAACGAUGAGUACUAGGUGUUGGCCCUAAGGGUCGGUGCCGCAG
rnacentral:rRNA from 1 species